CCUUGUACACACCGCCCGUCACACCAUGGGAGCGGGAUGUACCAGAAGUAGGUAGGCUAACCGCAAGGGAGCCGCUUACCACGGUGCGUUUCGUGACUGGGGUG
rnacentral:rRNA from 1 species